GGGCCUGUAGCUCACAUGGCUAGAGCGCCUGUUUUGCAAACAGGAGGUAAGGGGUUCGAUCCCCCUCAGGUCCA
rnacentral:tRNA from 1 species